AAUAUACUCCCUCCGUUUGGAAUUACUUGUCGCAAGUAUAAAUGUAUCUAGAUGUAUUUUAGUUCUAGAUACAUCCAUUUCUGCGAUGAGUAAUUUAGAACGGAGGGAGUCACUU
rfam:Triticum urartu cultivar G1812 contig1231189, whole genome shotgun sequence.